rnacentral:rRNA from 1 species
GGGAUUGCCCUAGUAACGGCGAGUGAAGCGGCAACAGCUCAGAUUUGAAAUCUGGCCCAUUAGGGUCCGAGUUGUAAUCUGUAGAGGAUGCUUUUGGCGAGGUGCCUUCUAAGUCCCCUAGAACGGGGCGCCACAGAGGGUGAGAGCCCCGUACAGUUGGACACCGAACCUUUGUAAAGCUCCUUCGACGAGUCGAGUAGUUUGGGAAUGCUGCUCAAAAUGGGAGGUAUAUUUCUUCUAAAGCUAAAUACCGGCCAGAGACCGAUAGCGCACAAGUAGAGUGAUCGAAAGAUGAAAAGCACUUUGAAAAGAGGGUUAAAUAGCACGUGAAAUUGUUGAAAGGGAAGCGCUUGUGACCAGACUUGUGCCCGGUGAAUCAUCCAGCGUUCUCGCUGGUGCACUUUGCCGGGCUCAGGCCAGCAUCGGUUCUCCCAGGGGGAUAAAGGUCUCGGGAACGUAGCUCUCUUCGGGGAGUGUUAUAGCCCGUGGCAUAAUACCUUUGGGGGGACCGAGGACCGCGCUCUGCAAGGAUGCUGGCGUAAUGGUCAUCAGCGACCCGUCUUGAAACACGGACCAAGGAGUCAAGCAUUAGGGCGAGUCUUUGGGUGUAAAACCCGCAGGCGCAAUGAAAGUGAACGGAGGUGAGAGCUUCGGCGCAUCAUCGACCGAUCCUGAUGUUCUCGGAUGGAUUUGAGUAAGAGCCUUACCGCUUGGACCCGAAAGAUGGUGAACUAUGCCUGAAUAGGGUGAAGCCAGAGGAAACUCUGGUGGAGGCUCGCAGCGGUUCUGACGUGCAAAUCGAUCGUCAAAUUUGGGCAUGGGGGCGAAAGACUAAUCGAACCAUCUAGUAGCUGGUUACCGCCGAAGUUUCCCUCAGGAUAGCAGUGUUGUCUUCAGUUUUAUGAGGUAAAGCGAAUGAUUAGGGACUCGGGGGCGCUAUUAAGCCUUCAUCCAUUCUCAAACUUUAAAUAUGUAAGAAGCCCUUGUUACUUAGUUGAACGUGGGCACUCGAAUGUACCAACACUAGUGGGCCAUUUUUGGUAAGCAGAACUGGCGAUGCGGGAUGAACCGAACGCGGGGUUAAGGUGCCAGAGUGGACGCUCAUCAGACACCACAAAAGGCGUUGAUACAUCUUGACAGCAGGACGGUGGCCAUGGAAGUCGGAAUCCGCUAAGGACUGUGUAACAACUCACCUGCCGAAUGUAUCAGCCCUGAAAAUGGAUGGCGCUCAAGCGUCCCACCCAUACCCCGCCCUCAGGGUAGAAACGAUGCCCUGAGGAGUAGGCGGCCGUGGAGAUUGUGACGAAGCCUAGGGCGUA